CCUACGGGAGGCAGCAGUGAGGAAUAUUGGACAAUGGGCGCAAGCCUGAUCCAGCCAUGCCGCGUGCAGGAUGAAGCAUCUAUGGUGUGUAAACUGCUUUUAUACAGGAAGAAACCUCCCGACGUGUCGGGAAUUGACGGUACUGUAAGAAUAAGGAUCGGCUAACUCCGUGCCGGCAGCCGCGGUAAUACGGAGGAUCCAAGCGUUAUCCGGAAUCAUUGGGUUUAAAGGGUCCGUAGGCGGGCCAGUAAGUCAGUGGUGAAAUCUCUCCGCUCAACGGGGAAAUGGCCAUUGAUACUGCUGGUCUUGAAUUAUUAGGAAGUAACUAGAAUAUGUAGUGUAGCGGUGAAAUGCUUAGAGAUUACAUGGAAUACCAAUUGCGAAGGCAGGUUACUACUAAUGGAUUGACGCUGAUGGACGAAAGCGUGGGUAGCGAACAGGAUUAGAUACCCUGGUAGUCCACGCCGUAAACGAUGGAUACUAGCUGUUGGGGGCAACUUCAGUGGCUAAGCGAAAGUGAUAAGUAUCCCACCUGGGGAGUACGUUCGCAAGAUGAAACUUAAAGGAAUUGACGG
rnacentral:rRNA from 1 species